GUGCCAGCAGCCGCGGUAAUACGGAGGGGGCAAGCGUUACUCGGAAUUAUUGGGCGUAAAGGGCGCGUAGGUGGUCGUGUGCGUCAGAGGUGAAAUCCCCGGGCUUAACCCGGGAGCUGCCUCUGAUACGGCAUGGCUUGAGUCCGGGAGAGGAGAGCAGAAUUCCCAGUGUAGCGGUGAAAUGCGUAGAUAUUGGGAGGAAUACCGGUGGCGAAGGCGGCUCUCUGGACCGGUACUGACGCUAAAGCGCGAAAGCGUGGGUAGCAAACAGGAUUAGAUACCCUGGUAGUCC
rnacentral:rRNA from 1 species